GACGAACGCUGGCGGCGUGCUUAACACAUGCAAGUCGAACGGAAAGGCCCUGGCUUUGUGGGGUGCUCGAGUGGCGAACGGGUGAGUAACACGUGGGUAACCUUCCCUUGACUUUGGGAUAACCUCAGGAAACUGGGUCUAAUACCGGAUAGGACCUCCCGCUGCAUGGGGGGGGUUGGGAAGUUCGGGCGGUUUGGGUUGGGCGCGCGGGUUAUCAGCUUGUUGGUGGGGUAGUGGCCUACCAAGGCUGUGACGGGUAGCCGGCCUGAGAGGGUGGACGGCCACAUUGGGACUGAGAUACGGCCCAGACUCCUACGGGAGGCAGCAGUGGGGAAUAUUGCACAAUGGGCGGAAGCCUGAUGCAGCGACGCCGCGUGCGGGAUGACGGCCUUCGGGUUGUAAACCGCUUUCGCCUGUGACGAAGGGUGAGUGACGGUAAUGGGUGAAGAAGCACCGGCUAACUACGUG
rnacentral:rRNA from 1 species